rnacentral:rRNA from 1 species
UACGUAGGGGGCUAGCGUUGUCCGGAAUCAUUGGGCGUAAAGAGCGUGUAGGCGGCCCGGUAAGUCCGCUGUGAAAGUCAGGGGCUCAACCCUCGGAUGCCGGUGGAUACUGUCGGGCUCGAGUACGGAAGAGGCGAGUGGAAUUCCUGGUGUAGCGGUGAAAUGCGCAGAUAUCAGGAGGAACACCUAUUGCGAAGGCAGCUCGCUGGGACGUUACUGACGCUGAGACGCGAAAGCGUGGGGAGCAAACAGG